GUGCAUAUGGCUCAGGGGUAGAGUGCUUGCCUAGUGUGUACAAGGCCCUGGGUUUGAGUCCCAGCUAUAUUCA
rnacentral:tRNA from 1 species